rnacentral:rRNA from 1 species
UACGAAGGGUGCAAGCGUUACUCGGAAUUACUGGGCGUAAAGCGUGCGUAGGUGGUUCGUUAAGUCUGUCGUGAAAGCCCCGGGCUCAACCUGGGAAUGGCGAUGGAUACUGGCGGGCUAGAGUGCGGUAGAGGAGAGUGGAAUUCCCGGUGUAGCAGUGAAAUGCGUAGAGAUCGGGAGGAACAUCAGUUGCGGAAGGCGGCUCUCUGGACCAGCACUGACACUGAGGCACGAAAGCCAAGGGAGCAAACAGG